rnacentral:rRNA from 1 species
AUACGGGGGGUGCAAGCGUUGUCCGGAAUCAUUGGGCGUAAAGGGUUCGUAGGUGGAAUUAUAAGUCUGGUGUGAAAGCCCACAGCUCAACUGUGGAACUGCACUGGAUACUGUUUUUCUUGAGUUAUAGAGGGGUUUGUGGAAUUUCUGGUGUAGAGGUGUAAUUUGUAGAGAUCAGAAAGAACACCGGUGGCGAAGGCGACAAACUGGCUAUUAACUGACACUGAGGAACGAAAGCGUGGGGAGCGAACAGGAUUAGAAACCCUAGUAGUCC